rnacentral:tRNA from 1 species
AUUCACAUAGUUUAAGAAAAACAUUACACUUUCACUGUAAAUUUAGGUCUCCCUUGUAAAUA